CAGUGACUUGUGUGCUGGACUGAUUGGGGGUCUUGGAGUAACACCAAGUGGAAAUAUUGGUGCUAAUGGAGUUGCGAUUUUUGAAUCGGUUCAUGGAACAGCACCAGACAUUGCAGGAAAAGACUUGGCAAACCCAACUGCCCUUCUUCUGAGUGCUGUAAUGAUGUUGCGUCACAUGGGACUACACAAACAUGCCACAAAAAUUGAGACGGCUUGCUUUGAUACAAUUAAAGAUGGAAAGGUCUUGACAAAAGACUUGGGAGGUAGCGCCAAGUGUUCGGAAUUCACAGAGGAGAUCUGCCGCAGAGUACGGGACACAGACUAAACUUUUCUCAUAGUACUUGUAAUAACUCUGAAAGGACACAUCAUGCAAAGUACACUAUAUGUAACCUGAUAUCCAUAUAGUUUGCUUGUUUCUUAAGAGAACAAACUUUUUAGUUAGGGCCUCUCCGUUAAUAAAUUUAGUCCAAAUGGCUACAAA